UAAAACCUUCUAGCUGAGUCGAUCCCC
rnacentral:piRNA from 1 species